rnacentral:rRNA from 1 species
UACGAAGGGGGCAAGCGUUACUCGGAAUUAUUGGGCGUAAAGCGUGCGUAGGCGGCUUUAUAAGUUGAAAGUGAAAGCCUUUGGCUCAACCAAAGAAUUGCUUACAAAACUGUAAAGCUAGAGUAUUAGAGAGGGUAGAAGAAUUUCUAAUGUAGGGGUGAAAUCCGUAGAUAUCAGAAAGAAUAUCGAAGGCGAAAGCAUCUGUCUGGCUAAAUACUGACGCUGUUGCACGAAAGCGUGGGGAGCAAACAGG